rnacentral:lncRNA from 1 species
GGAGACUCGGGCUUUUUGCUGCUCCAGGACCGUCGCGGCCCAGAGGAGGCGCGUCGCCGCCGAACCUGCGGCCGUCCCUGCCUGGCGGAGCCCGCGGACGAGGGCGUGGACGGUGCGGGUGGCCUGGACGACUGGGCCGCGCCGCUCGAGGACCCGCUGCGGAGCUGCUGCCUGGCGGCCGGGGACACGGACGACCCGGACCCCACAGCUACCACCUCUGCCGGGAGGGACGUUGGGAGCGCGGAGUCCAGCCUCGGCCUCCCCGACGCCCGCUUCGGCUCUCGGAACACGUUCGAGGUGAGCCGCCGUCAGAGCGCUGGCGACCUCCUGCCCUCGGCGGGGCAGUCCGCACCCUUGCCAGCGGCAGAGCAGGGCCCCGGGGGCACCACGGUUCGGGCUCGACGGAGCGGUGGCUUCGCGGAUU